rnacentral:rRNA from 1 species
UGGGGCAUAUUGCACAAUGGGAGAAAGCCUGAUGCAGCGACGCCGCGUGGGGGAUGAAGGCCUUCGGGUUGUAAACUUCUUUUGCUCUGAACAAGGCAUGCUAAUGGGUGUGUUGAGUGUAGGGGUUGAUUAGCGCCGGCUAACUACGUGCCAGCAGCCGCGGUAAUAAGUAGGGCGCGAGCGUUGUCCGGAGUUAUUGGGCGUAAAGGGCUUGUAGGUGGCUGGUUGCGCAUGUCGUGAAAGCUCAUGGCUUAACUGUGGGUUUGCGGUGGGUACGAGCUGUGUUGAGUGCAGUAGGGGAGGCUGGAAUUCCUGGUGUAGCGGUGGAAUGCGCAGAUAUCAGGAGGAAUACCGGUGGCGAAGGCGGGUGUCUGGGCUGUUACUGCCGCUGAGGAGCGAAAGCAUGGGGAGCGAACAGG